rnacentral:lncRNA from 1 species
GGAAAAGAGAAUGGUUUGGACCUAUUAUAUGCCUACUGCUUGCAACUAUCCUUUGUAUUCUGUUAUCGCCAAUAAAGAAGCAAGAUGAACUUUUACUACUAAACAUGAAUCCCAGUUUAUUGAGACCUGGAACUAAUAGCCUAAGGUGGUGAAUUCUGACAAAUGAUGCAGCUGUAUGGACAUAUCUGGACAAGUUCUGGCUCCAGAGCUUCAGAUCACAGGAAGCUUGGGCUGAAGAAAACACAUCCCCAUCUGGAUUUGGAUAUGAUCAUCAGCCUGAAGAGUCUGGAUUAAGGUGGUCUGGACUGAUACCCGUAAACAAUCACUGAAAGUUACACCGCCAAAGAAAAAGGAAGGAAAAGAGCCAGCGCUUUGCCCAUGAACACACCAGGAAAGGGAAGCAACAGAGCAAUAAAGUGCAAAUGGAUAUCCGUGCUAAUCUCCGA